CUUUGGUAGAGAAUCCUUGUUCAGCAGAGUUUGGUCAAAGCAAGGAGGAGGGAAAGCAAUACAAACCUCAGGUUUUCUCAUCUGUCUUACAGUAGUCUCAAAACCUAGAGAAAAUGAAGUAAAGGGCAGAGCUGCGUAUGUAGCCUUGAGAGAGAGACAGAGAGAGGGAGAGAGAGAGAGAGAACCGGUCCCACCGGGUGCUGCCUGUAUUCUUGGCGCUGAGGUCAGGAUCAUUUACAGUGGGGUAUCCAAGUGUCCCAGUGGACCAGGCUAAAUUCUAAUCCCACCCCCACCCCACCCCCGCCGCUUCCUGCUAGGUACUUUGAAGUUUCUAACUAGUUCAAGUGAGUUCCCAAAGUCCAGCUGAGGGUCAUUCCAACUACAGUCAGCUGAAGGUGGGUAGCACCUUCUAAACACCACAGAAAAGUGCUUCUGCAACGUCCGAUCCGUCCCACCGCUGACCACAGGGCCCGAAGGCGCCAAAGCCCUAUGCUUUACCUCGGCACGGUGAGCAUUCAUAAUCCAAACAUUCCUCCACAGGUUUCCGAGGGCACCUCGCUAAGAAAGGCAGUCAACUGGUUUCCAAGCCCAGAGUCUGAAAUCUCAAGAAACGGACGGCGACAGGGACCACGAAAGAAGCUCGGCACCGCGGCACUGUGACCCUGCAGUAGCGCACACAGCUGGGGCUUCCCUAGGCGAGGAGAGAUGCAUCGGAGCUGGAAGUCCGAAGUCCAAAGUCCAGUCUGCCAGGCACUGAGGCUUGAAGGAUAUUUAAAAUCCUGCAAAGUGGAUCCAGGUCUUCUAACCUCGGCAUAGGUUUCCAUCUCCAUGGAUUUUCAAAUCCCUAGUGCCAGGCUGCAGCAGGUGCACUCGGUUCGGGUCCCUAGGCGCUCCCAUCUCCGACACCGCCCCCACCCCAGCCCCGCU
rnacentral:lncRNA from 1 species